UAAAAAGUCCGAGUCAAGUCCAGACUUUUUUGCUAAGCGCUUAUCCAUACCCAAUCUAUGCAAACUUUACAUUUUUUGGACCCGUAUCCAGACCCAAUCCAUGCAAGUCGGGCGUUCGACUUAGACUUUUUUGCCAACCCUAGUUAAACCUAUAGAGAAACCCAAAUGAGAUUUCUUUCUUAGAAGAAAUUGCUUUGAUGACAUAAAACUUCCUUAUUUCCACAUAUAUGACAACAUAAUUAAUAUUUCUACUAAUAUGACAAUAAUUUAAUGAAAGUUCCAAAUUGCCCUUAUUUCUCUAUCAUUCUUAAAGGGAUUUUAAUUAAAUAUUCCCAUAAACAAGAGUAUUUAUCUAUUUAUAUCCCAUACUUAAAAAUUAUGUACAUAUAAGAUAUCCUAAAAGAAAAUAUACGACCCGAACUUAAUAAAGUUUCCCUCAUUCUCACCAUUUCAAUCCUCACGCAACAAAAAAUCACUCCAAGACACUCUCGAAAUUAUUCAAGAACAACCAUGUAUUGAGAUUUUAAUUUGCAACUAGGUAUAUUAUUCAUCCUGUCAACAAGGUAUUCUAUAUUUUACAUUUAUUUUAUAUUUUAUAUUUUUAGGGUUUUGUUUACUUUGUGAUAAACAAGAACUUACAUUUUCAUUACAUUUGCAUCAUAUUAUUGUAUGCUGGUAUGCAAUUUCUAAUGCUAUGGAUGUCAAUGUGCAAGUGUACACAACAAGUAAUAUAUUAAUGAGUAUUCAGAUCAUCUCCACAAGGAUUGAUUUAUCAGAUUUGCUAAAGCAACCUUAACAAUGCAAUUUUGUUUUAAAUGAAAAUAAAACAACUAAUGAAUCCGAUGAGUUAAUUAAAAAAAUGCAACAAAUAAAAUGAAAUAAGGAAAAUUUUCACGUCAAACACUAGAAUGUAACAUAUGAGAAUGGGGUAGUUGAGUAAAUAAACUCACUUAAUGGCAUUGAUUAUUUUUCAAUUACAGCUCCAUUGCUACAACAUUUACUGCAGCACUGGGUAGAAUCCCUCAUGCAUCCUCAGUUGUCGCCUGCUGGAUAUCUUAUACCUAAUACAAUCUAACAGUGACCAAUUGUUAUGCUAACAUUAAAUAUAACAUUAAACAAUUUAAGUUUCAUUUAUCCUACAAAGUGAAUCUCUAUGUCUAGUUUUUCACUAAUUUUAGAUAAAGUAUGACCCUAUUCAAAUUGAGAUUAACUCAGCUUGAGAGACUCAAUCUAAAACCAAAUAUUGUCUUAUUUAGAUCCACUAAGUCUGACAUUUUUUAGACUCUUCCUCAGCUAGUAUCUACUAAAUGGAUGGUCAACCGAAAUAGAAAAUUGAAAUAAACACAAUUAAGAUAAAAUGCUAUAGCAAACACAAAGCAAUGCAUAUAUGUUAGUCAAACAUCCAUUAAGAUCGUUUAUUACUCAAGGACAAUCAAAUUCAUUUCAUGAUUUGCGAUAAAAUAGUAAAUAAAAUAGUCUCAACAAUCAAAUACAUCCUCAUAAAUAAAUAGAAAAUAAGAUAAAAAGUUGAAUUCUGCUUAAUCUUAUGAUCUUUCCUUCUUGUUCACUAUGAUUCCUCUUAUUACAGCUCUCAAAUCCCUCUUAUUUCUAUUUUUCUUUUGUUUUUCUCUGUGAUUUUCCAUGAGUGAUGUCUCCUUUUUUUUUUUUCAUGCGUGCUCAUUUUAUAACUUAGAAUUAAAGCAACCGAAAGUACGUGGCGCAUAUCCUCUAUCUUUGGAAACUUUAGAUUGCAAUCUUUUAAUUAUUUUGCGUGAAAUCCAGUUUGUCAUUACUCCAAGAUUGCUACAGCAACGGCUACAAUAUCUUCACUGUUUUAGACUUGUUUCAAUUCUUUUAUAGGCAAGUUCUUUUAUUGUCUCUGCAAGUUUGUUGCAGCAGCAUUCCUUCCUUAAAAUUUGGGCUUUUGAUCACGUACAAUUAUGCAUAUAAUCUUAAUUACAAAUUAUUCUAGAACAACUCAAUUUAUUAAAAAUAAACUAAAAUGGAUGUUCAUGCAAAAUAUAACUAAAAUGCAGAAAAAACACAUCAUUUACUCUCUAAGUACUACUGAUUCAAGUUUAAAAGUGUCAUGAUAACUCUCAUUUCAUAUAAUUAUCAUAUGUAAUGGAUUUUUUAACUACAUUUGUUGAAAUCUCAUUUUAUUCUCUAAAUUUCCUAAAAAACAAAAUCUGCAUUGCAGUCGUAUAAGUGGAUAAAAUGUUCUAGCUAUGAUGACACCUUUGUAUCAUAUUAGUGUAGUCAAUGCAUUUUUCACUAAAUAUAUCCUCUAAAAAUGCAAACUAAGACCAACAUAAUUAGUUUAAAGUUUCAUUUAGCACACGUCAUAAGUGCCAAGAAUGUUACUUCUAAGACAUUUAAAAAUAAAAGAGGCCAAACUAUGUCAUUAGAACAAGACAUUAAUUAAUUAAGACAACAAUAAGAGCAUGAGAUGUAAAGAUACAGAUGCUUAGUUGCUUGAAAUACUGAAGUGCACAAAAUUGGCCUGGAACUCUUUUACCUGAAUAGAAAAAAAUGAGUUAUGUCCAUACCAAAGAUGAACAAUCAUGAAUGUUAGAAGCAUAUUAAUGCAAUCCUUAAAUAUAUUGUGUCAAUACCUCAAGCAUGGUUUGCUAAUCCGCCC
rnacentral:lncRNA from 1 species